rnacentral:snRNA from 1 species
UUCUGGAAUGAUACAGAAAAGAUUAGCAUAGCCCCUGCACAAAGAUGACACACAAAUUCAUAAAGCAUUUCAUAUUUAA